UUGAAUGCAAUUGGAGUCGGUUGUCGCUGGCCUCUUCACUGAGGCAUGUGCACGCCUUCUCCGUUCAUCCACACACACCUGUGCACUUGUGAGACGGACUAACCCUUCCGAGGGGAUGCCCCGUCUAUUAUACAUAAACUCCAAUUUAUUAAAUUCGAAUGUAAUCAGAUGUAACGCAUCAUUGAAC
rnacentral:misc_RNA from 1 species